rnacentral:tRNA from 1 species
GUUUUUGUGGUGUAGAACUUGCACGUUAGAUUUUCAUUCUAAAGGAGUAGAUUAAUUUACCAAAAAUA